UGCCUCACUGUGCAUAAAAAGAGGUAAGGCUUUUACUUGGAAACGUCCAGCAAAGCGUUCUCCGUAAGGGGGAAGGGAGGGGUAGCUGUUAGCCUUCCUGCAGCUGUGGAAAAGCCUAUCUCAGGAAAAAAGAAAAAAAAAAAUCACGCCCUUCUAACUUUGGCUGAAAGCGUUCUACUGCCACCUAAUAGCAGCAACCAACUUUGCAUUUCACUUUGAAGACUAGCCCCCACAGUGGGAAGCACAGCCAAAGCGUUUUCCUUUCCAGUUUAGGGCAUAACUGCCCAGGAUAUGUCAUCGGGCUUUAAAACAACUUCUCCUUCAGCGGCUGUUGAUUGCAGCAGGCCUCUGGAAGACAGGAGCUGAAAUCUGCCCUCUCCCGUGCUGUGAUUUUGCCUGCCCUGAGAAACUCUCGCCGAGUUCAAAGUAAGACUUGGACACAGCAGCGACACAUUAAGUCACCUAGCAUACCGUCUCCCUUUUGCUACUGCAGGUUUGUUCUUUACCGUGUUUUACAGUUUUCAGCCAACCUCAUCUGUAUAUAUUUCCAGCCCACCUCUUAGGGAGCAAUUGCCCAAGCAUUCACCCUACAAUUCUCUUUAUUGCUCUUUGCUAUUCUUUGUUCCCUCGUUCUCUCUCUAGACCUAAGAUGCUGGCAAACAAUCACGGGGAUUGAAAUACUGCAGGCUUGUAGAGAGGGUGCGGGCAGUACUGCAGGAAUGAGCUGCGGCUCUCAUCGUGUCACUUCCCUGCAAAAGUCCAAGACUUCCUUGUCGCUUUGCUCCGUGGACGUUGUAAGGCUGAGCUGUACUUUUACUGUGACUCUCACCCACCGGUGUCUCGCAUGCUGUCACACAGUUCUGCAAACAGGGACUGACUUAAUUGCCCAGCGUUACUAACUCAUCCUAUUUACGUUUAGCCAUCUCCCAGCUCCAUUUUCUCGACAGUGAAUGCAACUAGAUCUCACUUGCAUUUGAAAAGCUGACCUUCACCAGCCAGCUCUCAAUUCCCGGGAGAGCUUUCUCCACCCAAGGCAUUUUGGCUCCAAUUGUGUAUGCAUGAACUGCGUCAGCUGUACUGGGAAUACUCUCCGGGUAUUGCUGCAGUCCCUGCCUCCAUCCACAGUGAAUUCCAUCUAAAAGAAAGCAGGCUCAAAUUGACCUCAAACUGCUGGAAUGCAGAACAGCAACAUCAACCUCAAGUGAAAAUGGCAGUAGCCUUCUGGAUAUCCUGUUACAUCAGCCUCAAUGUCAAAGCUUCCCACUGUGAGCACUGCCCAUUUUCCUCAGUCCCGGGACUUCCAACAGUAACAAAAGAUCACUCAACCCUGCUCAUGUCAUUCUCCGAGUCACAUAUUUCUGAUCCAGUAGUGGCUGGCAGGAGAUUCCUAAAAUGAUGGGACAUUUCAUGAUGUGAAAGUCAACAGUCAUGCAAUGGCAUCAGACGUCCUUCUCACAGAUCACCACAGAACUGAAGAAGACUUGGGAAGUUUAUAUUCCUCCUCAAGCCACUUUCACAGUAUGGCAUUGUUUGCUAAAACUCAGGUGUUGAGGAUUAAGUUUUCCAAACGUAAAAGGAAGCAUUCCUGCCUUUCCACACCACCAGCCAGGAGGAGCAAAGCAGAACUAGCCAAAGGAUUGCCUUAUAAUUUGGUAUGUUCUUUUUCUCUGGAAAGAAGGGAGGGAUUUCCAGUCCAGUCCGAGAGCUAAACUCAACGCCUGUCUACAGUGUGAAAACCCUUCAGGACAGAAUUUUGGAAAUGGAGAUGGUACAUAUACUGGACAGCCUUCUGAUGAUUUUGCCAGUGGUCAUCCAAGCGCUUGGCAUCCAGCUCAUUCUGAUUCUCCUCUCGCCUUCGCAGCAGCUUCUUUAAGACUUCCAGUCGAACUUCCUGCAACCUGAAAGGAAAGAAAAGGCCAGCUGGGGUCAGAACAGAGGAUCGCAUGCUGAGAUCAAUUGUCUUCAGAGACCUCGUCUGAGCCCUGUGAGCUGUGCUGUGGAACUUGGGGAGCCACAGUUUGGCCACCCACGACAGCAAAACCUAUAGAGGGAUGCUUCAUUAAGCUUCCGUGACAUACAAUUUACUGCCAAGAUCCUGCCUUUUGCAUGUCCUUGACUUCUAUUUGCUGACUUUGCUGAAAUAAAUGAGCUUUUAUUCCUGGUAACCUUGCAGAGGCAAUACAACUACUGAGAAUACAGCUGGGAAAUAAUCUAUCUUCUGUAUCAGCAACACUGUCAAUCAGUGCAGGUUGGAGCAGAGGGGAUGUAUUUCUCAGUUUUUGUUAAUUGCAAGACGUUUUGCAAAUACAUGUUGUUGAAAUGAAAAUCAAUUUUAAAGCAGCGCAGGCAUCAAAUAAGUUCUUGUUGCAGAAUAACAGCCAAAAUAUAAGAAGCCACUGAGGUUUUCAUGUGCUGGGGGCAGUCUGAAAUGUUGAAAAUAAUAAUAAUAAUUUUAAAAGGCUCAAAAAUUCUUAUUUUAUUAUGGAAGUGAGAAGAAUAUGCUUUUGAAACUGAACAAAACCACAUGUGAAAUCUGCUGUAUCACUCUUAAACAUCUUUGAUUACUGUUUGACAUGUGGUACAACUCAGUUACCAGCAACCCCAGAGCAUGCAUCAUCUGAAAAGCCCAUGGUCUAAAGUUAGCCUGUUAAUGCAGCAAAAACCUCUGAAAACAACUACCUAGACUGAUGCCUGUAGUCUUGAAUACAGCUGCAAGAGGACUCCAAAAAACGCAUAGUGUAGCAAAGCACAUAAAUGUUUUUUUAAAAUAUUUGCUGAAUCAGAAGCCCAGAUUGUAAUGCCAGGAAAAAGUUAAACUAAGAAACCCCUGCACUAACAAUGCGGUGCCCUAGUUCAGGCCCCACACGCUCCUGAAUGAGCAGCAAAAGCAACCUAACCAGCUGCAACUGCACAGGACUAAAAGGAAACACCUCCAGCUGAAGUAACAUACAUGAGUCACUGAAGUCUUCAUAACUUAUCUACUACGUAAGAGAUUGAAAUAACUCUCUUCUCCUUCCCGGCAACCGCUGCAAAGCAGAUAGCACAGGGAUGAAGGAAUGUGCAACAUCCACCCUGUAAGAAACAGAUGGGCAACCAUACUCCACAACAGCUGCAAUCUCUUAAUUUCAAGGGAAAUACAAGUAGGAGCAAAUUGCAGUCAUCUCCACUUCAGUGUGCAUGGCUUUUUGUUGGUUUUGUUUGUAUGUUUGUUUUAAAUUAUCCAAC